UACAGAGGUCUCAAGCGUUGUUCGGAUUCAUUGGGCGUAAAGGGUGCGUAGGUGCGGUGGUAGUGGAUGGUGAAUUUACGGUGCGUUAAACUCCGAAACUGCAUUCGAUACUGCCGUGCUUGAGGACUGGAGAGGAGACUGGAAUUUACGGUGUAGCGGUGAAAUGCGUAGAUAUCGUAAGGAAGACCAGUGGCGAAGGCGGGUCUCUGGACAGUUCCUGACGCUGAGGCACGAAGGCCAGGGGAGCAAACGGG
rnacentral:rRNA from 1 species